rnacentral:rRNA from 1 species
UACAGAGGGGGCAAGCGUUAUUCGGAAUUAUUGGGCGUAAAGGGCGCGUAGGCGGCUUGGCAAGUGGAAGGUGAAAUCCCGGGGCUCAACCCCGGAACUGCACUCGAUACUGCUUUACUAGAGGACUGGAGAGGAGAUUGGAAUUCUCGGUGUAGCAGUGAAAUGCGUAGAUAUCGAGAGGAACACCUGUGGCGAAAGCGAAUCUCUGGACAGUUCCUGACGCUGAGGCUCGAAGGCUAGGGUAGCGAAAGGG